UACGAAGGGUGCAAGCGUUACUCGGAAUUACUGGGCGUAAAGCGUGCGUAGGCGGUUUGUUAAGUCUGUCGUGAAAGCCCCGAGCUCAGCCUGGGAAUGGCGAUGGAAACUGGCGAGCUAGAGUACGGUAGAGGGUGGUGGAAUUCCCGGUGUAGCAGUGAAAUGCGUAGAGAUCGGGAGGAACAUCUGUGGCGAAGGCGGCCACCUGGACCAGCACUGACACUGAGGCACGAAAGCGUGGGGAGCAAACAGG
rnacentral:rRNA from 1 species